AGCAGCGUGGCUCAGUGGUAAGAGUCCGGACUUGGGAGUCAGAGGUCAUGGGUUCAAAUCCCUGCUCUGCCA
rnacentral:tRNA from 1 species